rnacentral:rRNA from 1 species
UACGUAGGUGGCAAGCGUUGUCCGGAUUUACUGGGUGUAAAGGGCGUGUAGCCGGGCUGACAAGUUAGAUGUGAAAUCCGGGGGCUCAACCCCCGAACUGCAUUUGAAACUGUUGGUCUUGAGUAUCGGAGAGGCAGGCGGAAUUCCUAGUGUAGCGGUGAAAUGCGUAGAUAUUAGGAGGAACACCAGUGGCGAAGGCGGCCUGCUGGACGACAACUGACGGUGAGGCGCGAAAGCGUGGGGAGCAAACAGG